AGCAAAAAGAGGAGACUGGAGUCCGAAUGCAGCUGUGGGAGCUCCUCACCCCUCCGCAAGAAGAAGAAGAGUGUGAAGAAGCAUCGCCGAGACAGGUCUGAUUCUGGGUCCCGGAGGAAGAGACGGCACAGAUCUCGAAGCUCCAAGUGCAAAAGAAAAGAGAAGAACAAAGAGAAGAAGAGGCCUCACACAGAGUCCCCAGGCCGGAGGUCUCAUCGCCAUAGCAGUGGCAACUCCCACAGCCCCUCCCUCUCCUCCCACUACAGUGAUUCCAGAUCUCCCAGCAGGCUGAGCCCCAAGCACCGAGACGAAGGGCGAAAGACGGGCAGCCAGCGGUCCAGCGGAAGCCGGUCGCCUUCCCCGUCGGGCGGCAGCGGAUGGGGGUCGCCCCAGCGGAACGGCGGCAGCGGGCAGCGGAGCGGAGCGCACGGGGGCCGCCCCGGCUCGGCGCACAGCCCGCCCGAUAAGCCCAGCUCGCCCUCGCCCA
rnacentral:lncRNA from 1 species